AGUUUUGUCUGUGACAAGUCUGAUGAUCUUGUCAAAAGCCGCGAAAGGGGUGGUUGUCCUUGACGAUACCUUUUUCGUAACACGUGUUAACUUUUUUCUUCCAGGAACCUUAUUUCAAUUGCAAAGGAAUUUGCUAGACAAUCCAAACUUAUGUGCUGUAAUGAGUUUGGAAUUGCAGAUGUGUCUAAUAGUGCAGCCCAGCUCUGACGUCAAAGUAUUAUUGAUAAACUCAUCACUGUGCCUGCAGGUGCUGAUUCCGCUCCAUGUUUUUACGCAGCCACAGAAUGUUUUCGACAAGGGAUGUGCACUGUGGAGAAAUACCCAUCCUGACUAAUUGCACACCAUAAAGAAGAGAGGCUAUUAAUAAAUUGUAUGCCCCCUCUCUUUUAUUUUUCAAGGGUUCUUGAGAGAAGAUCAAGUCUUGGUUAUGACACUACAGGUUGUCUGUCUUAGAUUCCCGUUAAUCCCAUCUUUAGUAAGCUCUAUUUACGUCCAUGUAUAAACUAUAAAUGUCGACAAAGCUUGAUUCACUUUGAAUCUUUUCGUACACAUUGUGAAUUCAGUCACCGUGACAGCGAGUUUCGCAUUCAAGUUAAAUCUAAACUUGUGGUCGUCGUUUGUUCUUUAUUAUAAAGUGGACAACGAGGUAGUAAAGAAGACGUUUUCCAAACAUUCGGAAUCUUCAGAAACUCCUCGAGGCCGUUGUGUAAAAAAGAAGAAAAAAGAGAUGAGAGGCUCACUCAACAACCCGAACCAUUUUUUACGGCUUAAUUGCGUCCGACGAUGGGGGGGUUUAUUUUGGGAGAGUCAGGUGGGAUGCGGUGAGCGACACAACCCUUUUUUUUAUCUUUCAGCUUUUUUCAGCCGACACACAAACCGACAGAGCGGACCGAUCUCACGCUCCCGUCCAGUAGCUCGAUCCCGUCAUUCAUUUGAUUUAUUCUUCUUUUUUUAUAAAACAAGACGUGUCGUAAAAUCAUGUCUGCGGAACGGCUCUCAUCUCUCGCCACUCACCUUUUUUAUUAGCUUUGCAACAACAACAACAACGACGACGUUGAUGUAUUCAUCAACACUUCCCAAGACGCCAGCAGUUUUUUUUUUUCUUCUCUUGUCGGGACAACUUCAAUCCCGAAAUGAUGAUGACCUUUAAAAGAAAAAGAAAGAAAAAUAUAUUUUGAACGUCACGCGCUGCGCUUCUUUAUGUCAAAGCACAAACAGAAAGAGAACA